UGCGCAGGCGGGCUUGUAAGUCAGUGGUGAAAUACUGCCGCUUAACGGUAGAACUGCCAUUGAUACUGCGAGUCUUGAAUAUGGUUGAGGUAGGCGGAAUGUGUUGUGUAGCGGUGAAAUGCAUAGAUAUGACACAGAACGCCGAUUGCGAAGGCAGCUUACUAAGCCAUUAUUGACGCUGAGGCACGAAAGCGUGGGGAGCGAACAGGAUUAGAUACCCUGGUAGUC
rnacentral:rRNA from 1 species